CGUAGGGUGCGAGCGUUAAUCGGAAUUACUGGGCGUAAAGCGUGCGCAGGCGGUUCGUUAAGUUCGAUGUGAAAGCCCGGGCUCAACCUGGGAACUGCAUUGGAAACUGGCGAGCUUGAGUAUGGCAGAGGGGGGUGGAAUUCCGCGUGUAGCAGUGAAAUGCGUAGAGAUGCGGAGGAACACCGAUGGCGAAGGCAGCCCCUGGGCCAAUACUGACGCUCAGGCACGAAAGCGUGGGGGAGCAAACAGGAUU
rnacentral:rRNA from 1 species